rnacentral:rRNA from 1 species
GACGAACGCUGGCGGCGUGCUUAACACAUGCAAGUCGAACGGAAAGGCCCUGCUUUUGUGGGGUGCUCGAGUGGCGAACGGGUGAGUAACACGUGAGUAACCUGCCCUUGACUUUGGGAUAACUUCAGGAAACUGGGGCUAAUACCGGAUAGGAGCUCCUGCUGCAUGGUGGGGGUUGGAAAGUUUCGGCGGUUGGGGAUGGACUCGCGGCUUAUCAGCUUGUUGGUGGGGUAGUGGCUUACCAAGGCUUUGACGGGUAGCCGGCCUGAGAGGGUGACCGGCCAAAUUGGGACUGAGAUACGGCCCAGACUCCUACGGGAGGCAGCAGUGGGGAAUAUUGCACAAUGGGCGGAAGCCUGAUGCAGCAACGCCGCGUGCGGGAUGACGGCCUUCGGGUUGUAAACCGCUUUCGCCUGGGACGAAGCGUGAGUGACGGUAAUGGGUAAAGAAGCACCGGCUAACUACGUG